rnacentral:rRNA from 1 species
AUUGAACGCUGGCGGCAUGCCUUACACAUGCAAGUCGAACGGCAGCACGGGAGCAAUCCUGGUGGCGAGUGGCGAACGGGUGAGUAAUAUAUCGGAACGUGCCCAGUCGUGGGGAUAACGUAGCGAAAGCUACGCUAAUACCGCAUACGAUCUAUGGAUGAAAGCGGGGGAUCGCAAGACCUCGCGCGAUUGGAGCGGCCGAUAUCAGAUUAGGUAGUUGGUGAGGCAAAGGCUCACCAAGCCGACGAUCUGUAGCUGGUCUGAGAGGACGACCAGCCACACUGGGACUGAGACACGGCCCAGACUCCUACGGGAGGCAGCAGUGGGGAAUUUUGGACAAUGGGCGCAAGCCUGAUCCAGCAAUGCCGCGUGCAGGAUGAAGG